ensembl:lncRNA
AUGACUCCGGGAGGGCUUUACCGUCCCCCGGGCCCCGCCCGCCCCCCGCGCCGCGCCAUUGGCUCAGGUGCCGCGAGGCGGGGAGGGGCAGGGGGCGGGCCGGGGAUGAUUCACCUUGAAUGUGGCUCCGGUUGGUGCUCAGCCCAGGGCACGCCCGUUCGGGACUGCGGAGACGCCGGGAGCCCCGCCUGCUCGCCCAACCCAGCGGGGUCUGGUCCCAAGGGGUCUCGCCGCCCGCCUUCUAUCUCCGCCUCCUGCCCUCGGGCUGGGGUGCCGAUAGCCGAGGUGCGCCCGGACGCCCUGCCACCCCAGCGCCCUCUGAGCCCGGAGCUAGCCGAGAUCCGAUGUCCGUCUGGCAGUUGCCUCAUUCCUCCCGCUGGAGAGAUCCCUUCCCCCUUGCCGCUGGCAUCUCACGCUGCCCGGAGUUGUGCGCCUCGGGACGGGUAGUUUUGGGUUCCUCGACGCUUGGCCAGGUUUAGGAAAGACCCACUGUCUUCCUUGCUGCCCCCACCUAGGAGACUCGCCGCCUCGAGUUCUGUCCUUUUUUCUGGUGUCGCGGCCUGUCCCUCUCCACAAAGCUCCCUUCGCCAGCUGCAUGACAAUCCCCCUCGCGCUGAAGACCUUGGGCGAAGAAGUAACCAACCGUCGGUCCUCCUCUCCUUUCCCGUUAGUCCCGCGGCGGAGCUGGGGGGAAGGGUGCCUGGGAUACAAGCCCCUUACUCAAACACACUGAUGCGGAGGUGGUUCUGCCAUUGGCCCCUCUCCCAAUGCUGAGUUUCUCCUGCUAACCCUCGGCCCCUUGGCAUAACUUGUAAACCCCAGUGAGAGGAGCCCAGAGUUCAGUCUUCCCCUGCUCAAUGUAUGAUCUUGAUCUCGAGGGAUUCACUUCACCUCUCUAAGCCUCAGUUUCCCGUUUGCAGAACGGAAAGAAUGACUCGCACCUCAUGUGAUCACGCGGGUACUUGGCGACCCGGAGAUCUCUGCAAACUGCAGGCCCAGUGAGAUGCCCAUUGCACGCCCUGCACCCUCGCCCGCCCGACGCCCUCCGGGUGCCCGCCCCAGCCGCUUCCUCCUCCAGGGCCACGUGCUGGGGAAGCCAAAGCGGGAGUCUUUCGAUCUUGGCCCAGCCCUUAGCCCUCGGUUCUUUGCUCUAGAAUCUAGAUUCGCGUGGGUCGACAAAGGCACUGAAAACCCAACGAACUUCCCGACGUUUUUCAAAAAACCGUAUGCGCGUGCUUUUGUGCAUUUUUUCUCCGAUCGAGGCAGGGCCCCUUAGGGUUCGGUUUGGACGGAAGGCCAGGGUGGUUCUGCCCCAGCUUCGGGCGUGGAGGAUCCAGUAGGAGAUGCAAAAGAGCAAGAAGCAGGGACUGUUAAAUGAAAGGAGAUCCUGUCUUAGGAAUCGACCCAGCUCUUUAAAAGAACGAGAUAAACAUAGGGUCGUUAAAUAUCCUGGAAAGUAGCCUAGGCAUUCAGUGAAAAACGCAAAGCGCACGUGGAUUCUUUGUGUAAAAAUAUAAAUGGGACAGGGGUUUAAUCGUCAGGUUUUUUUCUGCACGAAAGAUGUCCGCCCAGAGGGCUGGAGAUUUUUCUUUUAAUUGUCUUUUGGGACUAUUCGAAGCCGAAGUGUGUUGUUGACCAUAUUCUUGCAUUGAAUUUUCAAUUAAAAAAGAAACUGCAGGAAUUGGCGGGUGUUGUUUGUUUUCUGGGGUUGGUUGGUUGAAGAGAGGGUCUCGCUCUGUCGCCCAGAUUGGAGUGCAAUGGCGCGAUCUCGGCUCACUGCAACCUUUGCCUCCCAGCUUCAAGCAAUCCUCCUGCCUCAGUCUCCCGAAUAGCUAGAACUACAGGCGCGUUCCAACACACCCAGCUAUUUUUUUUUUUUUAAAGAUGGGGUUUCACCAUGAUGGCCAGGCUGGUCUUGAACUUCUAACCUCAGGUGAUCCACCCACCUCAGCCUCUCAAAGUGCUAGGAUUACAGGCGUGAGCCACUGCACCCGGCCUUUUUUUUUUUUUUUUGUAUCUUUAGUCGAGAUGGGGUGUCACCGUGUUAGCCAAGAUGGUCUCAAUCUCCUGACCUGGUGAUCCACCCGUCUAAGGAAUUGGGUAUUUCGAAAGCAACCUGGGCUGGGCGCGGUGGCUCACGCCUGUAAUCCCAGCACUUUGGGAAGCCAAUGCGGGCGGAUCUCCUGAAAUCCGGAGUUCGAGACCAGCCUGACCAACAUGGAGAAACCCCAUCACUACUAAAAAUACAAAAUUAGCCGGGCAUGGUGGUGCAUGCCUGUAAUAUCAGCUACUUGGGUGGCUGAGGCAGGAGAAUCACUUGAACCCGGGAGGCGGAGGUUGCAGUGAGUCGAGAUCGCGUCAUUCUACUCCAGCCUGGGCAACUAGAACGAAACUCUGUCUCCAAAAGGAAAAAAGAAGAAAAAAAAGAAAGAAAGAAAGAAAGAAAACCUAAUUUGGGUGCUGAAGCCUGGAGGAGACGACUGAGAGGGCGAGCUGCAGAGCGGAGGCACUGGGGCAGCAGGCGAGGGCACCCCGGCUCUUUGCUCCCAGCGGGCGAGAGUCCAGAAUCCUCGCUCAGAGCAAAGGCAAGGGAAGCGUGCAGGCGUGGCUCUCGCGCUUUGUCAGGCGACACCCCGGUCGUGUUUGACCCCCGCGCAGGUGAAACUUGAGCGUCCACCCCAAAGAUGUCCCCUACCCGAGUCAUUGGAGAAGGUGGCCAGCCGGGAUAGGGGACCGAGUCCAGCCUUGGUUUCCUCGUCUGUAAAAUAAGCUGAGAAUGUCCGCGCCUUUUUCUGGAGGAGGCUGGAAGGAUGCCAGUGAGAAACUGCCCGCGGGCCCUGGCAAUAAGCCCCGCCAGCCCCUGCGGAACUCUGCUCGGGCAGGAUCCCUCUGGCGUUAGAAAUCCUGCUUCUCCACCCCCACCCAGCCGGGACCCGCGGUGCAUCCCCCAAAGACCCCCCAACCCGCGCUGCACUCAGACCCAAGAGUCGGCCUGCGAUGCACCACGUGCGUGGAGCCCCGGGUCCCAGCCCUAAGAAUCAGGGAUGGCUUCAGGGCUCAGAAGACUUCAGCAAGGUUCACUCGCAGAUUGUGUCUGCCGUCGUUGGGGGAGGGGCCCCGUAGCCUUCAGCAGAUUAUCCAAAGGUCGGUGACCCAGAUAUGGUUUUGGCCACGUGCCAUGAUUCACUUCCUGUGCCCCAAGCAGAAUUUAGCCGAAUAGACCCCAAACCAAGCAAAAACGCUCUUAUUUCCGUUUGGGAUUCUUUGGAGAGUUGGGAUUUAUCUGUCUCAAAUUAGAAUAACCUGCAUUAUUAACCACUUAACAUUUAUUUGUUGGUCUGCUGCCCGACCUUUCUGAGCCUCAGUUUCUUUGUCUGUAAAUUGGAGCUUGCCCAGGUCAGAGGACUGUUGGAAUUGGAAAUAUUCGAAUAAGGAAAUGCUUUUUUUGUUGUUGUUUUGUUGUUGUUGCUUUAAAAAAAAAAAGAAAAAGAUGGGGUUUCACCAGGAUGGCCAGGCUGGACUUGAACUCCUGACCUCAGGUGAUCCACCCACCUCGGCCUCUCAAAGUGCUAGGAUUACAGGUGUGAGCCACCGCACCCGGCCAGGAAAUAUUUUUGCAAGCACUUUGUAAGCAGCAAAGCGCACAAAGUGCUUCUUCAGGAGUCCAUGUUUUUUAGCUCUACAGUCACCACCCAAAUUCGGAAGAUCGUUGUGCCUUUCUUGGAUGAGGAUGCCCGGCUCCAGCGCGGGGUGGGACGGUCUUUUCCUUGCUGAGAACCCGCUGUAGCGGGGACGAGGCGCUCUGUCCAGGGCCUUAGAGCCCCUUUCUCCCUGCACCCUCGGCUCACAGCUCUCCCGGCGCGCACCUCCUCUUUGCCCCCAGCCUGCGGUGCGCUCUUCCUCUGCAGACGCCUCUUCUGUGCUCUGCACGCCGCCGGCCCGACUUGGGGUUGCUUUCUGCCGCGGCGUCUUCGCGAAUGUCCCCUCUUGCUCUCUGCCUUGGCAUCCCUCCGGGUUACCCCACGCAUGCUCCGACCCUCCCAGGGCUCCGCGCGGGAGGAGGGGCAGGGCGUUGGCAUUCCUGUCUGGGCCCUGACUGGGAGUCGCGUGGUCCAAAUCCCUCGUUUUUCAGAGGAGGGAUCUGAAGCCCAGCUAGGCCCCUAAUUCCGGACAGAGCUGGCCAAGGAGCCCAGUUCUCUGGAUGCCUGCCUGGGGCUUUUUUCACUGGGCCAGGUUACAUGGGUCCAGAGAGAACUCCCACCGCGGGAAAUUAAAUGUGGAGAGAAGCCUUAGGGGGUGGGGCUACCCUGGUUCCCUGGGCAGGCUCCUGCCUCUGGACCAGUGGGGCAGCAGAGGCCUUGGGAGCUGCAGAGAUUUUCCUGGGGACACUCCUGAGGGGUAGGUGCGAAGCUCCUGCUGGGAUGCCUAGAAAGGGGGUUAUCAUGGGUUGGCUGGCUGCAGGCUCACAGCUGCUCCUGUCCCGGAGAUAAGCAGGACAGAGGGUGGAGAAUGCACUGGCUUGGAAGAGAGGAGGGGACACGGAGGAGAAAGACCACAGGUGGCUUGGGUUGUUGGGAGGGGAGGGUAGGUGUGGUUUGAGGGGUGUGAUCUAGAAUGAUCAAGAAUCCCCGAAGCUUGGCCGGGCACAAUGGCUCACGCCUGUAAUCCCAGCACUUUGGGAGGUCAAGGCGGGUGGAUCAGGAGUUCGGUCAGGAGUUCAAGACCAGCCUGGCCAACAUGGUGAAACCCCAUCUCUACUAAAAACACAAAAAUUCGCCAGGUGUGGUGGCGCGCCUAUAGUCCCAGCUACUCAGGAGGCUGAGGCAGGAGAAUUGCUUGAACCUGGAAGGUGGAGGUUGCAGUGAGCAGAGACGGAGCCAUUUCACUCCAGCCUGGGCAACAGAUUGAGACCGCUUCUCAAAAAAAUAAACAUAAAAAAGAAUCCCCAAAGCUGUUUGGUCUUUCUUUGAACUACUCUUUAGGACCCUCCACCAAUAACCAGCUGUGGGAGCCUACGUGGGGGGUGUGCCUUGGAGGGGAGGGUCUGGCCAAGGCAGCAGUGAGCCCUGCCCUAAGGCAAGCAGUCUGUGGCCUGUGUCAGGGACUUGGAGCUGCUGUGAGCUCCCUGCAGAGACUGGGUCAGAACCUCAUCCUAGCCUCCAGAUGGGCUGGCCUGGGGGGAUUCCUGCCCAGCCUUUAGCAUGAGUCCCUCCUGAUAGAAAAUACAAGCCCCACCAGGGCAAGGACCACAACUGCCUUGUACACUGCGGUUUCCCCUGCCUGACUUUCUCAGAAGGUGCU